UACGUAGGGGGCAAGCUUUGUCCGGAUUUAUUGGGCGUAAAGAGCGUGUAGGCGGCCAUACAGGUCCGUUGUGAAAACUGGAGGCUUAACCUCCAGACGUCGAUGGAAACCGUAUGGCUAGAGUCCGGAAGAGGAGAGUGGAAUUCCUGGUGUAGCGGUGAAAUGCGCAGAUAUCAGGAAGAACACCCGUGGCGAAGGCGGCUCUCUGGGACGGUACUGACGCUGAGACGCGAAAGCGUGGGGAGCGAACAGG
rnacentral:rRNA from 1 species